rnacentral:rRNA from 1 species
GACGAACGCUGGCGGCGCGCCUAAUACAUGCAAGUAGAACGCGCAGUAUAUACCGUAGCUUGCUACACCAUAGACUGUGAGUUGCGAACGGGUGAGUAACGCGUAGAUAACCUGCCUGGUAGCGGGGGAUAACUAUUGGAAACGAUAGCUAAUACCGCAUAAUAUUAAUUAUUGCGUGAUAAUUGAUUGAAAGAUGCAACUGCAUCACUACCAGAUGGACCUGCGUUGUAUUAGCUAGUAGGUGAGAUAACGGCUCACCUAGGCGACGAUACAUAGCCGACCUGAGAGGGUGAUCGGCCACACUGGGACUGAGACACGGCCCAGACUCCUACGGGAGGCAGCAGUAGGGAAUCUUCUCCAAUGGACGGAAGUCUGACCGAGCGACGCCGGGUGAGUGAAGAAGGUUUUCUCGUCGUAAAGCUCUGUUGUAAGAGAAGAACGAGUGUGAGAGUGGAAAGUUCUCACUGUGACGGUAUCUCUACCAGAAAGGGACGCCUAACUACGUGCCAGCAGCCGCGGGAAUACGUAGGUGGCAAGCGUUAUCUCGGAUUUAUAGGGCGUAAAGAGAGUGCAGGCGGGUUCUCAAGUCUGAUGUGAGAGCCUUUCUGCUUUAACCGGAGAGAGUGCAUCUCGAAACUGUGAUAACUUUAGUGCGCAAGAGGGUAGGGGACUCCAUGUGUAGCGCUGGAAUACGCAGAUAUAUAGAAGAACACUCGGGGGGGAGGGCGGGUACCUGUGCUUCGACCUGACCUCAGACUUGAAAGCAUGUGUAGCGAAACGUUAUGUUACCCUUGGAUGCUAGAGGCGUAAUUCCAAAUGGGUGCAGCCGCCGGCGAAUAAUGAGUCUAGAGAGCGCCGCCCUGCGGGUCCUAUUUCGCGGUUUGUGGGAAGAUAUAGGAGGGGGACUGUGUAUACUUUUUAGAAGGCGCGGACCUCUCCAUCUUCUUGUCUUUUUCGAAUAAACCCCUCCCAAAAAAUACAUAUUAUCUUCCGAUAUAU